rnacentral:rRNA from 1 species
CCCCACUGCUAUCGGGAUAGGACUAAGACAUGCUAGUCGAGUGACUCAGGCAAAACGAGUCACGGCACACAGCUCAGUAACACGUGGCUAAUCUGCCCUUGGGACAAGAACAACCCCGGGAAACUGGGGCUAACUCUUGAUAGGCGAAGAACACUGGAAUGUGUCUUCACCCAAAAAACUUCACGUUAUCCUCGUGAAGUCGCCCAAGGAUGAGGCCGCGACCGAUCAGGUUGUUGGCGAGGUAAUGGCUCACCAAGCCUUUUACCGGUGCGGGCCGUGGGAGCGGGAGCCCGGAGAUGGGUACUGAGACAAGGACCCAGGCCCUACGGGGCGCAGCAGUCGCGAAAACUUUGCAAUAAGCGAAAGCUUGACAGGGCUAUCCCGAGUGCCAUCCGCUGAGGAAGGCUUUUACCCAGUCUAGAACGCUGGGGGAAUAAGGAGAGGGCAAGUCUGGUGUCAGCCGCCGCGGUAAUACCAGCUCUCCGAGUGGUGUGGAUGUUUAUUGGGCCUAAAGCAUCCGUAGCUGGCUAAGUUAGUCCCUUGUUAAAUCCACCGAAUUAAUCGUUGGAUUGCGGGGGAUACUGCUUGGCUAGGGGACGAGAGAGGCAGACGGUAUUUUCGGGGUAGGGGUGAAAUCCUAUAAUCCCGGGAAGACCACCAGUGGCGAAGGCUGUCUGCUAGAACGCGCCCGACGGUGAGGGAUGAAAGCUGGGGGAGCGAACCGGAUUAGAUACCCGGGUAGUCCCAGCUGUAAACGAUGCAGGCUAGGUGUUUGGACGGCCACGUGCCGUUCUAGUGCCGCAGGGAAGCUGUUAAGCCUGCCGCCUGGGGAGUACGAUCGCAAGAUUGAAACUUAAAG